rnacentral:lncRNA from 1 species
ACUUUACAGCUUCUCUUUCGCAUAUCCAAAUUGCCAGCAUCACCGCUCUUGCACUCCAAGCCAUUAUUAAGUAAAGUAAAGAACACAAACACUGUGAUACUGCUACACUUGAUCUGAUAACCAAGAAGUCUACUAAGUGACUAACAGAGCAACUGGGAACCUAAUUCUGACCAAAAAGGAGGAAUUGUUUGGCUAAUUGGAAGUGACAGAAACCUUGGGAGAAAGCAACCGCAUACCAAGGAUAAUUAUAAGAAGAGAAGACAUGGAGAAGAGGAGGGAGUAGUUGUGACCGUGGAGGCAGAGAAUGGAGUAAUGUGAUCAUAAAUCAAGGAAUGCUGACAGCCACUAAAGCUGGAGAAGGCCAAGGACAGAUAUUCAAUCCUCCCGUAGAAGUACAGCCCUGCUAAUGCAUUGAUUUUGGACUUCUGGCCUCAGAACUGUCUGGAAAGCAUGGAAAUUUGUAUCUUCAUUCACUUUUGUUUUCAUGGACUCUUUUCAUGUUUGAACUUUUCAUGGAUGCUUAAAAUAAGAAGAGUAAAUUCCAAAACCAGCUCUGUUCAUACUAGAGCAAGGCUGAGCAAAGCAUUGCUGACUACGUGCACAGUGUCAGGAGCCAAGCAAACUCUUCAGCCCUCAUUUUCUGGGGACCAAAAGCAGCUUCUGUGUUCUUGCCCUAGGGCUCACCCUUAGUGCCUUCUAGGUUUAAAGACUUUCAUAAGAAGUUUCAAAAAUUACACUGUGAGAAUUUCAUUAAUUUGAAUACUAUCUCAUUCUGCUGUCUUUGCUCUGCAUUUGUGAAGGGAAGGCAUUUCAUGGAUGACUUUGGCAUUCAUCAUAAUGAGAACAACUUCCAUGGUGAAUACUAACCGGAAGAAUUGUGUGCUUUUUAAUGGUUUGGAACAUCACUCCUGGCAGCACCUUGGAGACUUAUUUUUUAACUAAUUUAUGCUCACGGGGUCUGGACUUCAAGAGCAUGUGUCCAUUCAAACCACUUACACACUUUAAUACAAUCUCUAUAAUAGAAGUUAUUCAUGUGGUUAUUUGAAGCCUGGUGGUAUAAUCCUCUCAUAUGAUAGUGUACUUUUGUGAGUUAGAAGUCAACAUUAAAAGGCUCACAGAGUUAAUUUAGGUUCUGUCUGAUUCAUCACUCAGCUAGUCUUUGCAAACUACAGGAUACUGUUGUUGGGGACAAGUGGGAAGAAAAGUGCCAGAACUCUACUUUUAGAUAUAAUUAAAAUCUUCAAUCUGUAGGACUAUCCUGCUCAGAAUAAUAUGUACCCUUUGGUGGUAAUUCAGGAUUUUAGUGCUAAACCCAAAAGAACAGGGCAACUUGACUUUUUAAAAAUUUUAGAUAUGAGAAUAAACAGUAAUGCUAUGGAGA